UACGUAGGGUGCGAGCGUUAAUCGGAAUUACUGGGCGUAAAGCGUGCGCAGGCGGUUCGUUGUGUCGGCGGUGAAAGCCCCGGGCUCAACCUGGGAAUGGCCGUUGAAACUGGCGAACUGGAGUGUGGCAGAGGGGGGUGGAAUUCCGCGUGUAGCAGUGAAAUGCGUAGAGAUGCGGAGGAACACCGAUGGCGAAGGCAGCCCCCUGGGCUGACACUGACGCUCAGGCACGAAAGCGUGAGGAGCAAACAGG
rnacentral:rRNA from 1 species